AUACGGAGGGUGCAAGCGUUACUCGGAAUCACUGGGCGUAAAGGACGCGUAGGCGGAUUGGAAAGUCAGAUGUGAAAUCCUACAGCUUAACUGUAGAACUGCAUUUGAAACUUCUAAUCUAGAGUAUGGGAGGGGGAGAUGGAAUUAGUGGUGUAGGGGUAAAAUCCGUAGAUAUCACUAGGAAUACCGAAAGCGAAGGCGAUCUCCUGGAACAUAACUGACGCUAAGGCGUGAAAGCGUGGGGAGCAAACGGGAUUAGAUACCCUAGUAGUCC
rnacentral:rRNA from 1 species